UACGGAGGGUGCAAGCGUUGCUCGGAAUCACUGGGCGUAAAGCGACCGCAGGCGGCCUGACAAGUCGGAUGUGAAAGCCCUGGGCUCAACUCAGGAAUUGCAUUCGAAACUGGUAGGCUUGAAUCCGGGAGAGGGAUGUGGAAUUCCAGGUGUAGCGGUGAAAUGCGUAGAUAUCUGGAGGAACACCGGUGGCGAAGGCGGCAUCCUGGACCGGUAUUGACGCUGAGGCGCGAAAGCCAGGGGAGCAAACGGG
rnacentral:rRNA from 1 species